GUGUAAAUGAGAAGCAAAUACUUUUGAUUAUUAAGAGACAGAGUGGUUCCAAAAUGACAGGAAGUUGAAGCAGAAUAUGCCUCAGUACCCCGUAGGAAAUGUACUACACAAAUACAGAGGCAGCUCCUCUGAGAACAGAUUCGAUGAGACAUGCAAUGACGCACAGGAUUGAAGAGACAUUAGGUGAAGCCAGGAGGACACAGGUUAAAACAGAAGAACAUGAUGCUUCAAGCAAUGGGUUAUCAAGCUGUCUUCAGUCUAGGAAACUGUAACUGUUAAAAUUUUAACAAGUUUGGCAGAGACUGACAAUUAAGGAAGAAAAAUCACAGAAUCUCUGAGGCUGGAAGGAAUCCCUGGAUAUUAUCUAGUUUAACAUCCUUGCUCAGUCAUGGUCAGCUAUCAUAAGUUGCUCCAUGUCUCCACAAAUGAAGCCUCCACAACCUCUUUGGGCAAUCUGUUCCUGUUUGAUCACCCUCACAGUAUUUUCUUUUUCUUACACUUAAAUGGAAUUAAAUAUCUGAUCAUUGUGUGCUGUCCCGUCACUGAACAACCCCAAGGAGAGUUUGGAUCCAUCUUUUUUACCUCCCCCCAGCACAUAUUUACACACAUUGAUAAGAAUAUAUAUGAAUGACAUCUUGUGAGACACUGAAAUGGUUUAUGGCUUAAACAUUGUUAAAAUCACUGAAGGACUUUCAUCCACUGUAGCAGACUGUGCAAAGAAGCAACUGCUCACCAAGGCCUAGCCCUCCCUGAACAUCCCUACUAAUUUGGACUGUGAUAGGAACUUGAGAUAAGAUAAAGGUACUAUACCCAAUUAUCCUAGGAGAAGAAUGCAUCGGCAAGUGUGAAAGACUGGAAUGCUGAUGUCUCAAACAAUCAAGGUGCAAACUGACAAUGUGCAGAGUAACUGCCCAGGUGCUGAGGGUGUGCACACCAGACACCUCAGGCUACCAGUUGGGUAUUGAUCAAGAUAAGGAAAGAAGCAAAUCCUUCGAGGUGGGGUAGUGUUUCUUUGUCCUUACAGGAGUGAUUCAGCUGUGAUAACUCCCUUCUGGGGAAGCAUUGGGACAAUUCACAUAUAGCCUGAAGAUGUUAAUCUCUGCUGAUAAGCCAUAAAGAACUCAAGGCUGAUGUAACAGGCAGUUGUAACAUCUUAGAAAGUGUCAGAGACUCAUGACAUGUCCUGUGAUCCAGUAUUACAUCAUCCCUUGUAAAACUCCCUACUCCAGGGGUGGCACCAGAGGCAUUUUUCUACCUAGCCUAAGCCCAAUAAAAGACACGACAGACUGCUCAACAUACUUGGAUUUCCCCUACCAUGGGCUUCUUCUUUCAUGCACACGGGCUUCUUCUAUUACCACACAGGACUUCCUUCACCAACAUGGGCUUCUUCCCUCACUACGCUGGGCUUCCCUCAACAGAUCCAGACUGCAACUAUCACUUUGACAAGAAUGGGAUUCUCACCACCAAGAAGACCAGAAGAAUAGAAUCAACGGGACGCCGUCAGAAUCCAAGGAUGUUGAUAUAAUUUCUUCCUAAUCUGUCUCUCUGUCGCUCUCUUUCUGUCCCUCUCUCUC